CCGAGCGUCGUCCAACGGCAGGGCUCGCGGCCGAUUACCGCGGUAUCGGGGUUCAAGUCCUCGCGCUCGGACCA
rnacentral:tRNA from 1 species